rnacentral:rRNA from 1 species
GACGAACGCUGGCGGCGUGCCUAAUACAUGCAAGUAGAACGCACAGUUUAUACCGUAGCUUGCUACACCAUAGACUGUGAGUUGCGAACGGGUGAGUAACGCGUAGGUAACCUGCCUGGUAGCGGGGGAUAACUAUUGGAAACGAUAGCUAAUACCGCAUAAUAUUAAUUAUUGCAUGAUAAUUAAUUGAAAGGUGCAAUUGCACCACUACCAGAUGGACCUGCGUUGUAUUAGCUAGUAGGUGAGGUAACGGCUAACCUAGGCGACGAUACAUAGCCGACCUGAGAGGGUGAUCGGCCACACUGGGACUGAGACACGGCCCAGACUCCUACGGGAGGCAGCAGUAGGGAAUCUUCGGCAAUGGACGAAAGUCUGACCGAGCAACGCCGCGUGAGUGAAGAAGGGUUUCGGAUCGUAAAGCUCUGUUGUAAGAGAAGAACGGGUGUGAGAGUGGAAAGUUCACACUGUGACGGUAUCUUGCCAGAAAGGGACGGCUAACUACGUG